GGAUUGUAUAGAGAUCCUUUGCCGGCCCAAUACAGAUGUAUCUGUAAUAAAUUGUCUUUUACAUGUGCUGGCAACACCACAGAUAAUUCUACAUUUGGACCCCCAAUCCUUUCUUUUAUGUUAAAAUCCUUUAGCUGUCUCUCCCCCUGAAUAUAUACAUCGAAAACACGUUUACCGUGGCUACUAUAGUCUUCUUCCUUUGCAUAAACAGUUUCAGCAAAGUGAAGUGUCACAUCAUAUUUGCCUUGAUGUAAACAAAAGGCAUAAUAUGUCAAAGCAACAGGGCAAAGGCGAGCUGUUUUAUAUAGAGAUUUCUCAGAAAUUCCACAUGUCAUGUUUUUAAUGUAAUCACUUGAAUUGCUGGUUG
rnacentral:misc_RNA from 1 species